rnacentral:rRNA from 1 species
UGGGGAAUAUUGGACAAUGGGCGCAAGCCUGAUCCAGCAAUGCCGCGUGUGUGAAGAAGGCCUUCGGGUUGUAAAGCACUUUUAUCAGGAGCGAAACGCUGUCGGCUAAUACCCGGCGGAACUGACGGUACCUGAGGAAUAAGCACCGGCUAACUUCGUGCCAGCAGCCGCGGUAAUACGAAGGGUGCAAGCGUUAAUCGGAAUUACUGGGCGUAAAGCGUGCGUAGGCGGUUUCUUAAGUCUGCUGUGAAAUCCCCGGGCUCAACCUGGGAAUGGCAGUGGAUACUGGGAGGCUAGAGUGUGUCAGAGGGUGGUGGAAUUCCCGGUGUAGCGGUGAAAUGCGUAGAGAUCGGGAGGAACAUCAGUGGCGAAGGCGGCCACCUGGGACAACACUGACGCUGAGGCACGAAAGCGUGGGGAGCAAACAGGAUUAGAUACCCUGGUAGUCCACGCCCUAAACGAUGCGAACUGGAUGUUGGUCUCAACUCGGAGAUCAGUGUCGAAGCUAACGCGUUAAGUUCGCCGCCUGGGGGAGUACGGUCGCAAGACUGAAACUCAAAGGAAUUGACGGGGUCAUAGCUGUUUCCUG